AGAGUUUGAUUCUGGCUCAGGAUGAACGCUGGCGGCGUGCUUAACACAUGCAAGUCGAACGAGGAUUGUCGGUGAAGUUUUCGGACGGAAACUGGCAAUACCGAGUGGCGGACGGGUGAGUAACGCGUGGGGAACCUGCCCCAUUCCGGGGGAUACCAGUUGGAAACGACUGUUAAUACCGCAUAAGCGCACGGCAUCGCAUGAUGCAGUGUAGAAAAACUGAGGUGGAAUGGGAUCGGCCCCGCGUCUGAUUAGCCAGUUGGCAGGGUAACGGCCUACCAAAGCGACGAUCAGUAGCCGGCCUGAGAGGCGACCGGCCACAUUGGGACUGAGACACGGACCCAAACUCCUACGGGAGGCAGCAGGUGGGGAAUAUUGCACAAUGGGGGAAACCCUGAUGCAGCGAACCGCCGCGUGAGUGAAGAAGUAUUUCGGUAUGUAAAGCUCUAUCAGCAGGGAAGAAGAUGACGGUACCUGCACAAGAAGCCCCGGCUAACUACGUGCCAGCAGCAGC
rnacentral:rRNA from 1 species